GUGAGGAAUAUUGGUCAAUGGACGAGAGUCUGAACCAGCCAAGUCGCGUGAAGGAAGACGGUUCUAUGAAUUGUAAACUUCUUUUGUGCAGGAAUAAAGUGGGUUACGUGUAACCUUUUGUAUGUACUGUACGAAUAAGGAUCGGCUAACUCCGUGCCAGCAGCCGCGGUAAUACGGAGGAUCCGAGCGUUAUCCGGAUUUAUUGGGUUUAAAGGGUGCGCAGGCGGGUUGAUAAGUUAGCGGUGAAAGUUUGCAGCUUAACUGUAAAAUUGCCGUUGAAACUGUCGAUCUUGAGUGCAAAUGAGGUAAGCGGAAUGUGUUGUGUAGCGGUGAAAUGCUUAGAUAUAACACAGAACACCGAUUGCGAAGGCAGCUUACUGGGAUGCAACUGACGCUCAUGCACGAAAGCGUGGGGAUCAAACAGGAUUAGAUACCCUUGUAGUCC
rnacentral:rRNA from 1 species